UUUUAGGUGAAGCUUUGUGGGUGAAGCUUUUUUAGGUGAAGCUUUGAUGGUGAAGCUUUUUAGGUGAAGCUUUGUAGGUGAAGCUUUUUAAGUGAAGCUUUGGGUGAAGUUUUUGGGUGAAGCUUUUGUGGGUGAAGCUUUUUUAGGUGAAGCUUUGUGGGUGAAGCUUUUGGUAGGUGAAGCUUUGAUGGUGAAGCUUUGUGGGUGAAGCUUUUUAGGUGAGCUUUGUGGGUGAAGCUUUUGUAGGUGAAGCUUUUGGUGAAGCUUUUUGGAUGAAGCUGUUUUUUUUUUUUUUUUUUUUUUUUUUUUUUUUUUUUGGCGCUUGACACGGUCUUCAUUUGCUUGUUUUGUAGUGACUGUGGAAGACGGAUUGCUUUCUGAUUGAGAAGGGUUCCGGCAUCGCUUUGCACCAUCUUCAUGUGGGUAAUAUAGGAACUUCCUUAUGUUUUGAUCAUGCAUGUAGUGAUAGAAUUUGUUUCUUCUUAUUGUAGAUGUCAGAGCCUGGAAGUUCUAGUGAUGAGGGCUCUUCUAGCUUUAGCUCUAAGUCUGAGUCUGCAAUGUCGGAGUCUUCAGGGUCUUUGUUAGAGUCCUGUACUAGAGAAACAUUGGAUGAUCUUCCCAACCGUCAAACUUUAGCUAUUGCUAGUUCUUCCUCCAUGGCGUUGGGUGAGGGGGUUGUUUUUGAUGCCAUACCCAUAGUUCGCUCUGAGUUCACAGCAGACCAUCUAAAGAAUAACUUGUUAAAAUAAUGAGAAGCAGGUUGAGGCGCUAAGGCAGUCAUGUAAUAUCCCUCGUAGUGUAGGGAUACGUUUGGUACAUGAUGAAGAAUGGCCUUCUGAGCCUCCCCAGGGUCAUGUUAUGUUCUACACCCAGAUAUUACUGACUUUAGGGGUGAGACUACCUUUACAUCCGUGGUUGCAAAAGAUGUUAUCUUUGAUCGGAUAUGCACCUGGGCAACUCAAUCCUGGUUUCUGGGAUACUUUGAUUGGAUUUUAUAUCAUUUGGAUGGAGUGUGGGUUGUGUGAGCCUUCCUUCCAUCAGUGGCGUUACUGUUACAAGAUGCGCCCAGCAAAAUCAUGCACUGGUUAUGCCGAGUGUGCAUGUCGGAGUGAGAGAGAGCGUAUUGUGUAUGGUAAGAAAAAGGCAUACUACACAUGGAAAAACCGUUGGUGCUUUCUGUAUAAUGAUUGGGAGUAUGAUAAGGGUGUCACGCCUGAGCGACGUGUGCUUACUCACUUCCAGACUGUAGGUUGUAACGUAUCAACCGUUCGUACUAUUUGCUAUUUGUUGUGGUCUUUUCUUGCUUCUAACACUUUGUUUCAUGUAGUGACGCGGGGCACCAUCCAACUGUUUGGGCAGGAGCUAUCUAACACUUUGUUUCAUGUACUAGAGAAACAUUGAUGAAGGUUGCUAGGCCCGAAUAAGUGGAAUUGCAGAAGGUGUAACCGUUGGUGCAUUAACAUCAUAAUGGAAGCAUCACAAUGAUGGAAGCAUCACAAUGAUGAAAGCAUAAUGAUCAUAAUGAUGAAACAUCAUAAUGAUGAAAACACCAUAAUGAUGAAACAUCAUAAUGAUGUUUCUUUGGUGGAAUUGUUUUUCAUUUCCCCUAACAACCGGAAUUGUUUUUCAACAUAACACCAUCAUCUGUAGGUCGAAUCACAAAGUUGUCUUCAUGAAAGUUGUUCGUUAAUUCCUUAACUACAACAUAUCCAAAUUGGAGAGCCAUCGGAGCAGUACAACUCCAGAAAUCCAGGUAUGAUGAGUGACUGUUUAUCAUUUGUCUGUCAACCCGUCAGAUUUGUUGUGAGCUUUGGAAACUCUAUUUUCUCUUGCUCAGAUCAGCAUGCUUUCUUCAUUGAAGUUGUUCCUCAGCUUGUGAACUACAACAUAUCCAAAUUUGAGAUCCCUCGGAGCUGUAUAACUCAAGAAACUCAGGUAUGAUGAAUGACUGGUUAUUAUUUUUCUGUCAACCCGUCAGAUUUGUUGUGAGCUUCGAAACUCCAUUUUCUCUUGUUCAGAUCGGUAUGCUUUCUUCAUUGAAGUUGUUCCUCAGCUUGUGAACUACAACAUAUCCAAAUUUGAGAUCCCUCGGAGCUGUAUAACUCAAGAAACUCAGGUAUGAUGAAUGACUGGUUAUUAUUUUUCUGUCAACCCGUCAGAUUUGUUGUGAGCUUCGAAACUCCAUUUUCUCUUGUUCAGAUCGGUAUGCUUUCUUCAUUGAAGUUGUUCCUCAGCUUGUGAACUACAACAUAUCCAAAUUUGAGAUCCCUCGGAGCUGUAUAACUCAAGAAAUUCAGGUAUGAUGAAUGACUGGUUAUUAUUUUGUCUGUCAACCCGUCAGAUUUGUUGUGAGCUUCGAAACUCCAUUUUCUCUUGUUCAGAUCGGUAUGCUUUCUUCAUUGAAGUUGUUCCUCAUCGACUCUUUCAUAACAUAUCAAAAAUUCAGGAUGAACUAACGGUUAAAUAUUUCCAGAUCUUCGAAACAUCACAACAGCUUCGAAAUCUGCAAGAAGCCGACUAUCAUGUUUGGAGCUUCAACACUUUAAUUUCCGUCGCUCAAACAGAAAUGGUUCCUUCUUGAAAGUUGUUCAUAUGCUCAAAAACUAUAGGGUGUCCAAAAUUCAGCUCCAUUGGAGAAGAGCAGAGGUUGCAGAAAUUUGAUAGAUGAAAGGAGGCGGAAGAGGGAGAGAGAGAAAAAGUCUCUUGGGUUGGAUUUCUAUUUUGGGGCAGAUUCCAAUUUUUGUAGCACCUUCAUUAUUGAUGAAUUGCUUGUACUUUUGUCCAUUAUGAAAACUUGGGACUUUGGCUUGUUGUUGGAUCUAUUAUAAUAUGUUUGGGAACAUAUAUAAGUGAAUAAAUAAGAAGGAAAAUUUUGGGCCCUUGUGGGUGUAAAACAAAAAAUGUUUAUGUUUACCCAAGUGUUUUUGUACAAGUUCAAGGGCAUCUUGGGUUUUGUGAACACAAAAUUUGUUUAUUUGGAGCAAGGUUUUGUGUUGAAGCUUUGUAGGUGAAGCUUUGGAGGUGAAGCUUUGAGGUGAAGCUUUGUAGUGAAGCUUUCUGGGUGAAGCUAUGUAGGUGAAGCUUUCUAGGUGAAGCUUUUUUAGGUGAAGCUUUGUAGGUGAAGCUUUUUUAAGUGAAGCUUUUCGGGUGAAGUUUUUUGGGUGAAGCUUUGUGGGUGAAGCUUUUUAGGUGAAGCUUUGUGGGUGAAGCUUUUAGGUGAAGCUUUUUGGGUGAAGCUUUUUGGAGGUGAAGUUUUUUUUGGGUGAAGCUUUUUUAGGUGAAGCUUUUUGGGUGAAGCUUUGAUGGUGAAGCUUUGUAGAUGAAGCUUUCGAGGUGAAGUUUUGAUGGUGAAGCUUUGUAGGUGAAAGUAUGUAGAUGGAGCUUUCUAGGUGAAGCUUUUUUAGGUGAAGCUGUGUAGGUGAAGCUUUUUU
rnacentral:lncRNA from 1 species